UUUAUAAUUCCUCUUUAGAUAUGGUUGUGAUUUUUGUUUGAACUGAACCUUACUUGUGUUCUUUCGUGAAUCCUAUUGCUUCUGCCUUAGAUCUGGAGGAUUUCAGAAGGGACAGUGAGAAUGUGUUCCUCUACCUCAAUGGCAAACAAAGGAAAACCAACCUGGAAACGGUGCAAGAGAAAGGUACAGCUACAGGACUGAGGAAGCAUUGCUUCUCUUCUGUGCACAUCUGAGCUUGUUAACUCCAUCCUCCUGCUCCUCUUAGCAAACUGGCACUGAAGAUUCAUCUUUCUUGGAUUCUCUCUAGAGACAGAAGUUAUCAGAAUAAUCUCAAGUGUUCUAACACUCAAUGUAACACUGAAGGCAAAGGAAAGAGAAUACUUCAAGUGAGGAUCCACAGAAUAUACCAAGGAUUCUGUAAUACUGGCAUGAUGUGGUUUUGAAAGAUGUCAUCCCAGUGAGCAGAGCUGUCACUGAGAACUCUCACUUGAGAUGAAACUGGGGGAAAAAACUGAUAUCAACCAGGAACUGUGGAUGGUCUGGGGUGUGGAAUUGGCACAAACUCUCUGCUUUGCUUUUUAUGGCUGGUUAAUAUCGUCACUUUGCAUCCACCAUGGCUCCUGACAAAAUUAACAAUGACAGAGUGAAAGUGCUAACACAAGCCCUGGGGAUUUUAUCUCUGCAGUUUAACAAAGCUGUAAUGGGUUGACCUUGACUGGAUGCCAGGUGCUCACCAAGCUGCUCUAUCACUCUCCAGUAGGGCAGGGGAGAGAAAAAUAAGAUGGAAAACAACUAUUAGGUUGAGAUAAGGCAGUUUAGGGUCUGUGAGUGCAUAAGCAAAGGGAAACAAAAAUUGACCUCUACUUCCCAUUGGUGAUUCCCAAUGCUCAGCCACUUUCCAGGAAGCAGGGCUUCAACACGUGGAUUAGUUGCUCUAGAAGGCAGACAUGAUUAAAUAGCAAAUGCCCCCCAUUCCUCCUCCCUGCCUUAGCUUUUAUAUCUGAGGUGAUUUCAUAUGGUAUGGAAUAUCCCUUUGGAUAUUUUGCAUCAGCAGGCCUGCUUGUAUUCCCUCCAAGAAUCUUGCCCACUCCCAAACCCUUCACAGGGGAGCAGGAAAGGAAUGUUAGAGAGACAGCACAGCUGCUGUGCCAGCACUGCUCAGCAGUAGCCAAAACACUCAUGUGCUACCAACACCCCUCCAGCUACCAAUGCAAAGCAUAGCACUGAGAGGGUUGUUAAAAGAAAUGAACUAUACCUCAGUCAGACCAAAUACAGUCUCCAUCCCUUAUUUCAUAUCAUUUGAGUCAUGCUGAAAUCCCACAUAAUUUAUAUAUCUUCCAAGUAUUCCAUUCUAUUUUUUUGUCAUUACUGGAAUCCAUUCUUACCCAUACACACAAUUUUAAAUACGUCCCUAAACCAUCUCCUUACCUGACACAGAUUUUCAUUAACCUUUAUCCUGCAUCCUUUCACACAUAAAUAUUAUUGUGCCAUUUCAUGGGCUUCCUUCACCCCUCCAGAUCCAGGACUUGGAGUACAAUGGGCUUCUGAUCCUUGAUAACUCCAGCUUCUUGGAGUGACCUCGGGUUUCCCCUGAGGGGCUCUGUGUCUUAGCUUACAAUGUAAAAUGUAACCAAAAGCAUGUAUUCUAUCACCAUCUGUUAAAACCAGGUGGGGCAGUGUUCUUUAUCUCUUCCAUGACCCAUCCCUCAUAACUGCCUCUGAGGGAGAUACCUGCUGUUAAUGGGCCAUCAAAUCUCAUUGUAUGACUCGUAAAUUUCUUCAUCCCAUUGUGAGAUGAUCCACCCAGGGGAGGAGCUAAGCAUUCCUACCUGGAUAUCUCCUGAGGUUUGGAACACCAAAAGCAGCCUUAUCCACGGGAUUCCCAGAGGAAGACCAGGCCCAUCUGUACCAUCGCUGGACCUUCAGAGGCAGAUCACACCCUUCUACAGGAUCUCUGCUUCAACAGAACCACAUUGGUCAUCCCAAGACGAUUGCAGACACCGUUGAACUGGACUGCUACCAACCCUGAUCAACAGCGUUCUCAGGUUGUAUUUUGACUGUGUCAGUGUUUUGUACUAUUGCAUUUACUUUAAUUUUCCUAUUAAAUUGUAGUUCUGACUUGGGAUC